rnacentral:miRNA from 1 species
CAGGAUGUUCGACUUGUUGUGU